UGGAAACAAGCAACCGGCUCAGGCGAUGUGCGGACACGGGCGCAGCCGCAGUAGGGGCCGUGCUGAUCGUCAGGACGAUGUCUCCAGAAAUCCAUGACUCACAGGCCUGCCAUGAAGCCUGCAGGCUGGGUGGGGACUAGUGCCUGUGUCCGGAUCUUUCCGAUGGACAGAGCCGCUCCUCCUCUCCUGGCAGCUCGGGACACAGUGCGUCCACCAACGUCCAGCACGGACUCCUGCGUCGUGGACUGACGCUGCUCGCCGGUGCCCAAUCCAAGAACCUUCACAGGAAGUGCAGGGAGGAAGUCUCACCUCUCGAUGUCGACCUUCUUCAGCUGUCGGCGCAGAUUGAGGGGGCUUUUGGUGGGGCUCCUGUCCAGAGAAAAACCAACAUUUGAAAAGGUAGAAAAAAAACAAAACCACAAGAAAAUGUAAACGAAAGGAGGCCAUUCAGCCUAUUUCACCUGUUUUCUAGUGUAGAAGCCAGCUGAACAAAAUUUCACCCAGUUGUUUCUUAAAAGAUCACAGAGUUUGACCUAAACCACCUGGGUCUGAAACUUUUUCCAAACGCCACCAUUUUGUUUCCAGCUAUGACCCGAAGUCACUACUUCUGCCAGACACUGGAGGUCUGGGAAAGGGAAGAGUGGUUUUUACACAGAGAACGGGGAGCUGGACGAAGCUGCCAGGCUGUUGACUCACAGCUGGAUGAAAGCCUCAAAUCCACAUACUGCCAGCAACCGAACGGACACGAGGGGCUGAAAGACGCCCUCUCGUUUGUAGACUUGUGUUGGAACCACCAAGGAAAAUCCGGAAGAUUAUCUAGAUUACUCUGAAUUAAGAGUGCGUUUCAGAAGUGUGAACUUACUUCAACACUCAUGGUUUUGAAACAGAUUUUUCA